rnacentral:rRNA from 1 species
CUGGUUGAUCCUGCCGGAGGCUACUGCUAUUGGAAUUCGAUUAAGCCAUGCGAGUUUAAAGGACUUCGGUCCUUGGCAGACGGCUCAGUAACACGUGGAGAACCUGCCCUCAGGAGGGGGAUAACCCCGGGAAACUGGGAAUAAUACCCCAUAGGUCUAGAAUGCUGGAAUGCUUCUAGGCUCAAAGCUCCGGCGCCUGAGGAUGGCUCUGCGGCUUAUCAGGUUGUAGUGAGAGUAACGUCCUCACUAGCCUAUGACGGGUACGGGCCCUGAGAGGGGAUGCCCGGAGAUGGACUCUGAGACACGUGUCCAGGCCCUACGGGGCGCAGCAGGCGCGAAAACUCCGCAAUGCUCGAAAGAGUGACGGGGGGAUUCCAAGUGCCUACGCUUAGCGUAGGCUGUUCAGAUGCCUAAAAAGCAUCUGGAGUAAGGGCUGGGUAAGACGGGUGCCAUCUGUGGCAGCAGCCGAAGAUUUGGCUUGUUGCUGCAAGGCAUAAGCCGCCGCGGUAAUACCCGCAGCCCGAGUGGUAGUCGAUUUUAUUGGGCCUAAAGCGUCCGUAUCCGGUCUGAUAAAUGCCUGGGUAAAUCGUCUGGCUUAACCAGACGAAUUCCGGGUAGACUGUCAGACUUGGGACCGGUUGAGGGAGAGGGUACUUUAGGGGUAGGAGUGAAAUCCUGUAAUCCUUGAAGGACCACCAGUGGCGAAGGCGCUCUUCUAGGACGGGUCCGACGGUGAGGGACGAAAGCCAGGGGAGCAAACCGGAUUAGAUACCCGGGUAGUCCUGGCCGUAAACGAUGUGGGCUUUGCAUUGGGGGUUCUACGUGGGCGCCCAGUGCCGUAGCGAAGGCGUUAAGCCCACCGCCUGGGAAGUAUGGUCGCAAGGCUGAAACUUAAAGGAAUUGGCGGGGGAGCACAGCAACGGGAGGAGCGUGCGGUUUAAUUGGAUUCAACGCCGG